AGUAAAGAUUAAAUGUGCUUCUCAAAGGCAGCCACUUCAUGCUGCUAUGUCGAAAGGGCCAUUAUUAUUAUUAUAUUUUAAUAGUAAAAGAGAAAAGGAGAGAGGUUGAGCGAGCGAGAGAGAAGCUAGGUGUGAUGAUGACAGACUAGCUUUUCUGAGAGGAAAAGGAAAAGGGAAGGGAGAGAAAAAGGAGAGCCUCUGAGCUCAACGGAGGAUUGUGCCUGAGAAGAACCCACAGAGGAAAGCCCCACUUCCAGUCUGAUGAGGAAAGCGACAAUCUAUCAGGUACAGAACCAGGGGCUGUCUGCGAAGAUGGAGGGGAAUUAUGCUUCGGAUUCCUCUGAAAUAUUGGCCAAAGGCUUCAAAGAAUCCGCAGCGGGAGGUGCGGGGGGAAUGUCUCUCCCCAGCCCGCACCCAGCCCUUCCCACUUCGUGUCUACCAAAUGACAGCCUGGUGCUCGCUCUUGGUGAUUUGGCCUUGACUUCAGCCAAGCAGCUGAUGCAGACGAAGCCUCCGUUUGCAGGACUGGCAAAGUGCACGCUGAAGAAAGAAGGAAGAAAUUUUUCAAAAAGCAGCUCUGGGGAGGUUUCAU
rnacentral:lncRNA from 1 species